rnacentral:rRNA from 1 species
GACGAACGCUGGCGGCGUGCUUAACACAUGCAAGUCGAACGGAAAGGCCCUGCUUUUGUGGGGUGCUCGAGUGGCGAACGGGUGAGUAACACGUGAGUAACCUGCCCUUGACUUUGGGAUAACUUCAGGAAACUGGGGCUAAUACCGGAUAGGAGCUCCUGCUGCAUGGUGGGGGUUGGAAAGUUUCGGCGGUUGGGGAUGGACUCGCGGGUUAUCCGCUUGUUGGUGGGGUAGUGGCUUACCAAGGCUUUGACGGGUAGCCGGCCUGAGAGGGUGACCGGCCACAUGGGGACUGAGAUACGGCCCAGACUCCUACGGGAGGCAGCAGUGGGGAAUAUUGCGCAAUGGGCGGAAGCCUGAUGCAGCAACGCCGCGUGCGGGAUGACGGCCUUCGGGUUGUAAACCGCUUUCGCCUGUGACGAAGCGUGAGUGACGGUAAUGGGUAAAGAAGCACCGGCUAACUACGUG